rnacentral:rRNA from 1 species
UUGACGAAACUGGCAGUGUUCAGUGCUCGUGAUCGGGUUCGCUCGUGAUCGGGUGCGCAUUCAUUGUCGGUACGUGCUGGGACGUUCGGUGAGCCCUUCUGAAGGCUUCAGAGUCACCCAAGCUUGCUUGGUAGUGUUCUGUCGUCGGAAGUUGAUGUGCUCGCUGAUCGUAGCGGUGGCCGUGCCUCUGCGCGUUCGUUCGUUAGUUGGUGUGCUGCUUGGUAGUCGGACAUGUCUGGCUGCCUCGUACGUGUGCUGAUUAGCGGGCGCUCGCCUAUGGCCCACUCCCGGUAUGACAAAGUCGACCACCUAUCCGACCCGUCUUGAAACACGGACCAAGAAGUCUAGUAUGUACGCGAGUCAUUGGGUAUUAAACCUAUUGGCGCAAUAAAUGUGAAGGGCGGCUUGUUCGUCUGAUAUGUGAU